CAAUAGCGUAUAUUUAAGUUGUUGCAGUUAAAAAGCUCGUAGUUGGAUUUCGGGUGGGACGCAGCGGUCUCGCAUUGCGUUUGUACUGCUGCAGCCCUCCUUCUUGCCGGGGGCGGCCUCUCGGACUUCACUGUCUGGGGGUCAGAAUCGGCGAUGUUACUUUGAGUAAAUUAGAGUGUUCAAAGCAAGCUUACGCUCUGAAUAUAAUAGCAUGGGAUAACACGACAGGACUCUGGCCUAUCGUGUUGGUCUAUAGGACCAGAGUAAUGAUUAAGGGGGACAGUCGGGGGCAUUCGUAUUCCGUUGUCAGAGGUGAAAUUCUUGGAUUUACGGAAGACGAACAUCUGCGAAAGCAUUUGCCAAGGAUGUUUUCAUUG
rnacentral:rRNA from 1 species